GUGCCAGCCGCCGCGGUAAAACCAGCACCUCAAGUUGUCAGGAUGAUUAUUGGGCCUAAAGCAUCCGUAGCCGGCCCUGUAAGUUUUCGGUUAAAUCUGUACGCUCAACGUACAGGCUGCCGGGAAUACUGCAGGGCUAGGGAGUGGGAGAGGUAGACGGUACUUGGUAGGAAGGGGUAAAAUCCUUUGAUCUAUUGAUGACCACCUGUGGCGAAGGCGGUCUACCAGAACACGUCCGACGGUGAGGGAUGAAAGCUGGGGGAGCAAACCGGAUUAGAUACCCGGGUAGUCCCAGCUGUAAACUAUGCAAACUCAGUGAUGCAUUGGCUUGUGGCCAAUGCAGUGUUGCAGGGAAGCCGUUAAGUUUGCCGCCUGGGAAGUACGUACGCAAGUAUGAAACUUAAAGGAAUUGGCGGGGGAGCACCACAAGGGGUGAAGCCUGCGGUUCAAUUGGAGUCAACGCCAGAAAUCUUACCCGGAGAGACAGCAGAAUGAAGGUCAAGCUGAAGACUUUACCAGACAAGCUGAGAGGUKGKGCAUGGCCGUCGCCAGCUCGUGCCGUGAGAWGUCCUGUUAAGUCAGGUAACGAGCGAGAUCCCUGCCUCUAGUUGCCACCAUUACUCUCAGGAGUAGUGGGGCGAAUUAGCGGGACCGCCGCAGUUAAUGCGGAGGAAGGAANGGGGCCACGGCAGGUCAGUAUGCCCCGAAACUCUGGGGCCACACGCGGGCUGCAAUGGUAUUGACAAUUGGUUCCGAAUCCGAAAGGAGGAGGUAAUCCUCAAACAAUACCACAGUUAUGACUGAGGGCUGCAACUCGCCCUCACGAAUAUGGAAUCCCUAGUAACUGCGUGUCAUUAUCGCGCGGUGAAUACGUCCCUGCUCCUUGCACACACCGCCCGUC
rnacentral:rRNA from 1 species